rnacentral:rRNA from 1 species
AUUGAACGCUGGCGGCAGGCCUAACACAUGCAAGUCGAACGAGUGGCGGACGGGUGAGUAAUGUCUGGGAAACUGCCCGAUGGAGGGGGAUAACUACUGGAAACGGUAGCUAAUACCGCAUACCAUCGGAUGUGCCCAGCUGGGAUUAGCUAUUCGGUGGGGUAACGGCUCACCUAGGCGACGAUCCCUAGCUGGUCUGAGAGGAUGACCAGCCACACGGGAACUGAGACACGGUCCAGACUCCUACGGGAGGCAGCAGUGGGGAAUAUUGCACAAUGGGCGAAAGCCUGAUGCAGCAAUGCCGCGUGUGUGAAGAAGGUCUUCGGAGUGUAAAGCACUUUAAGUUGGGAGGCGUUACCAACAGAAUAAGCACCGGCUAACUUCGUGCCAGCAGCCGCGGUAAUUC